GACGUAGGGCGCGAGCGUUGUCCGGAUUUAUUGGGCGUAAAGAGCUCGUAGGCGGCUUGUCGCGUCGACUGUGAAAUCCCGCGGCUCAACUGCGGGUCUGCAGUCGAUACGGGCAGGCUAGAGUUCGGUAGGGGAGACUGGAAUUCUCGGUGUAGCAGUGAAAUGCGUAGAUAUCGAGAGGAACACCAGUGGCGAAGGCGAGUCCCUGGACGACUCCUGACACUGAGGCACGAAAGCUAGGGGAGCAAACAGG
rnacentral:rRNA from 1 species